AGAGCUUGCUCUGUGGAUCAGUGGCGAACGGGUGAGUAACACGUGAGCAAUCUGCCCCUGACUCUGGGAUAAGCGCUGGAAACGGCGUCUAAUACCGGAUACGAGCUGCGAUCGCAUGGUCAGUAGCUGGAAAGAAUUUCGGUCAGGGAUGAGCUCGCGGCCUAUCAGCUUGUUGGUGAGGUAAUGGCUCACCAAGGCGUCGACGGGUAGCCGGCCUGAGAGGGUGACCGGCCACACUGGGACUGAGACACGGCCCAGACUCCUACGGGAGGCAGCAGUGGGGAAUAUUGCACAAUGGGCGGAAGCCUGAUGCAGCAACGCCGCGUGAGGGAUGACGGCCUUCGGGUUGUAAACCUCUUUUAGCAGGGAAGAAGCGAAAGUGACGGUACCUGCAGAAAAAGCGCCGGCUAACUACGUGCCAGCAGCCGCGGUAAUACGUAGGGCGCAAGCGUUAUCCGGAAUUAUUGGGCGUAAAGAGCUCGUAGGCGGUCUGUCGCGUCUGCUGUGAAAACCCGAGGCUCAACCUCGGGCCUGCAGUGGGUACGGGCAGACUAGAGUGCGGUAGGGGAGAUUGGAAUUCCUGGUGUAGCGGUGGAAUGCGCAGAUAUCAGGAGGAACACCGAUGGCGAAGGCAGAUCUCUGGGCCGUAACUGACGCUGAGGAGCGAAAGGGUGGGGAGCAAACAGGCUUAGAUAC
rnacentral:rRNA from 1 species